rnacentral:rRNA from 1 species
GUGGGGAAUUUUGGACAAUGGGCGCAAGCCUGAUCCAGCAAUGCCGCGUGCAGGAAGAAGGCCUUCGGGUUGUAAACUGCUUUUGUACGGAACGAAACGGUCCGGGUUAAUACCCUGGGCUAAUGACGGUACCGUAAGAAUAAGCACCGGCUAACUACGUGCCAGCAGCCGCGGUAAUACGUAGGGUGCAAGCGUUAAUCGGAAUUACUGGGCGUAAAGCGUGCGCAGGCGGUUUUGUAAGACAGGCGUGAAAUCCCCGGGCUCAACCUGGGAAUUGCGCUUGUGACUGCAAGGCUGGAGUGCGGCAGAGGGGGAUGGAAUUCCGCGUGUAGCAGUGAAAUGCGUAGAUAUGCGGAGGAACACCGAUGGCGAAGGCAAUCCCCUGGGCCUGCACUGACGCUCAUGCACGAAAGCGUGGGGAGCAAACAGGAUUAGAAACCCUUGUAGUCC